AUUGCCCGAUCAUCACGCCAACUCUGCCAGUGGUAGACAGUUCUGCUCUGCAUCAUCAGACCGCAUCCCCGACGGACACUGAUACGAUAAGCUUCCAGCAGGAAAUGCACCGCUUGACGCUUCUGAGCCGGCCU
rnacentral:sRNA from 1 species